GAGAACAUAGAAGAUGCAAAGUGUGCAGCGCAUAUACGAGAGUGCAAAAGUGGGAAGUGUUUGCGUAGGAGCGGAAAGGCAGCUUGGUUGGGUUUUCCGCAGAAGCGAGAAAGCCACGCACCUGCGUUGUUGCAGAAGCGAAUUUUGGUCAGCAGGUUCAAGAGGCUGGGGCUUCAAUGUUUUUCCACGGAAGUUGCCUUUUGCUUCGCGUAUGCGAAAAUUCCGGGUAGAUGUUAUAUAUUUUGU
rnacentral:lncRNA from 1 species